rnacentral:tRNA from 1 species
GAAGGUAUAGUUCAGUGGUAGAGUGCAUGCCUAGCAUGCACAAGGUCUUGGGUUCAAUCCUCAGUACCUCUG